UGAGGAAUAUUGGUCAAUGGGCGAGAGCCUGAACCAGCCAAGUAGCGUGCAGGAUGACGGCCCUCCGGGUUGUAAACUGCUUUUAGUUGGGAAUAAAAAAAGGGACUUGUCCCUUCUUGUAUGUACCUUCAGAAAAAGGACCGGCUAAUUCCGUGCCAGCAGCCGCGGUAAUACGGAAGGUCCAGGCGUUAUCCGGAUUUAUUGGGUUUAAAGGGAGCGUAGGCGGAUUGUUAAGUCAGCGGUUAAAGGGUGUGGCUCAACCAUGCAUUGCCGUUGAAACUGGCGAUCUUAAGUGCAGACAGGGAUGCCGGAAUUCGUGGUGUAGCGGUGAAAUGCUUAGAUAUCACGAAGAACUCCGAUCGCGAAGGCAGGUGUCCGGGCUGCAACUGACGCUGAGGCUCGAAAGUGUGGGUAUCAAACAGGAUUAGAUACCCUGGUAGUCCACACAGUAAACGAUGUAUACUCGCGGUUUGCGAUAGACAGUAAGCCGCCAAGCGAAAGCAUUAAGUAUACCACCUGGGGAGUACGCCGGCAACGGUG
rnacentral:rRNA from 1 species